AGGGGCAGGGAUGGGAUGACUGGAGGGAGGCAGCUAGAGCUAAGCUGGGCUUGGCCAGGCAUACUUGCAUUGUCCACGCUAAAUCAACAAAAAUGUCCCUCUCUCUGUGUAGCGGAGGCAACUAGUAGUGUAGCAUGGAUGCGAGUGCCAUUGCAGUGAGACUCCUCAACUUAGAGGGCCUCACAUUUUCAACUGCAAAGGAUUGUUGUGGCCUUCUUUUGAACAGCUCUCACCAGAGUCAGAGCUAGCCCAUUGGGUCCCUGAGCAGGAAUAUUUUUGGUGACUGGCCCCUUACCCCUCACUUACCCCCUAAAAAUACCUAUUGCAUUAUUUCCACAAACCAAAGGAAAAAAACCUAACUCAACGCAUACUGAUACACUUCUUUAAAAGUCCACCUUAAAUUAAUGGUAUUUUUUGGCAAUACUAAAUCAGGGUCCCCUUUGAGCUGUUUGGGUACUUAAGCAAUUGCUUUGCCUGCUAAUGCCUAGUGCUGGCUCUCACAUCUCUGUUUGCAGCCAACCUUUGUCAUGGGCAGGGUGAGUUCCCUUUAGAUGUGCCUUUUCUUUGUCCUGUGCAAUAAUUCCAUUCAGAUUUGGCUGUGAUAUAUAUUUUAGUAUUUAAGACACCAUUUCCUCUCCUCUUUUGUGUUCCUCAGGGCAGUUUUGGCAGUCUGAUACAUAAGUGCUGGAACUAUGGGUGCUGGGAGUGCUCCCACAGCCCUGUCUUGAAAUGGUUUCCAUUAUAUACAGGGUUUACAGUUUGGUUCAAUGACUCUCUGCACCUCCACAAUGAAAAUCGUUCCAGCACCGCUGUUCUGAUGAAAUCACUGACUGUUUCUAGACUGGGCUGAGGGCUCAUGCCACUACCAAAGCAGCAGCAGCAGAUGCUGCUUUGGGGUCACGGGGAGCUAACAAAGCAGCUGUAGCACACCUAGCAAUGGCAUCAGUGGCCCAGUUUCCCUCUCCCUCCAGUCUCCAGGGUGGCAGCUCCCCCAAAUUCCCUGAGUGUAUGGGGAAGGGAAGAGAGAGCAAAUCACAUCAGGGUGAGCUUCUUGUAACCAUUUCCCAGACCUAGCUGCAGCCCAUUCUACCUCCCCACCCCAAAAACAGCCUUCUCUUGCUGACUACUAAUGUUAUUAGUCCUGUAGUUCAAGCAGUAACAAUCUGUCCUGCAAUGCUGAAGGUCCAGGCUUCAAAUGUCAACAUUCCUAGUUCUAUCUUGUAAAAAAUAACUUCACGUAUACUUUUAUUCAUUAUUAUUGAAAUGAAAUGAGCUUACUACUUCUAAUUUUUCCCCUAAUAAAUAUUUAAUGUGAAGUAAUAAACUGCUAGAAAGGUUGUUACUUUCUUAAUAAUAAACUGCAUUUUUGAUGAUACAUACAAUAAUUGAUUCUUAAAAUACUUUGUCAUAAAGGCCUAUUAGAAAAAAUUAAAGUAAAAUAUGUCAUGAUAAAACGUAAUCUCAUUCCCAUGACAUUUAGAAACAAACACAAUAUUUUUUGCCAUUUUCUCUAGAAUUAGUCUAAGAAACAUUAUUUUAAAAUUAAACAUGCAAGAGAGCUCAAAGGGAAAUUGAUAUUUUCCGUAUUUAGUUUAAUGAAAACAUAUUAAUAAGUGUGCUAUUCUUUCAAAUAUUUAUGUCAAUUUAUAAAGCACAUAUAGGUGCUAAACAGCAAUUAAAAAAAUUAUGGCAGAAAUGAAUUGCCCAGACAGAAUCAUGUAAAACAGAAGAAUAUCACUGUGGUGGUUGGGGGGUUCACCCAGAUAGAGUAAGGGGCUCUCUCAUUACCUGCCCUGUAACUCUGGGUACUUGUGUUGUGCAGCUUUGGCUCAGAGUCCUGAUACUAGCAGCCUACUCAGAGCACAGUGGCCUCACCCUGGCUUUCACCAGUCUGGUUUCUCCUUGCAGGGUGACACCAACAACCCUUCCAACCCUGAGCCUCCUCACAGCCGUCUCCCCUGCAAUAUGCAGUCUCUCUCACUGGAUACUCACAGAAGUUAUGAAGUCCUUUGCCUGUUAGUUUAACUGAGGAUCCACCCUUCAGUUUAAUACACAGCACUGAGAUGGUUUUGUAAUAAAACAAGUUGUUUUACAGAAUCUUGAAUAAGAACAUAAGAAUGGCCAUACUGGGACAGAACAAAGGUCCAUCUAGCCCUGUAUCUUGUCUUCCGACAGUGGCCAGGUACCCCAGAGGGAAUGAACAGAACAGACCUUCAACGGGUGUUUGAUGGUGGUGCUGAUCUGGACAGAUAUCUACAAGCCACAUAUCCAGACAUGGAAAGCUAGUUCAUUACCAACCUGGUCCCUGAUCCGACAGAAAUAAUGAACACAUUUUCAUUCAUUCAAAAGGCAGGAAACAUUUAAGGAAUGGAUUUUGCUAUUAUAGUGUUGACUGAUAACCAGGUAAAAAUAGAGUCACAUGGCCAAAUUCUGCCUUCAGUUAUGCCUGUGUGAGCACAUUGACCCCAGUGGAGUUACAUAGUUAUAGAUGCAGACAUCAAGGCUGCACUACUGAAGAUGGUACCUGGAAACAGAGCAGAUCCGGAUGAAGGCAUGGUGGAAACGAUCAAAUCCUUGAAAGAGGUUGGAGUAUGCUGGUUCAUGUGAGUCCUGUGCAGAGAUUGGAAAGAGAAGAAAAUCCCAAGACAAUGGAGAAAGUCCAUGCUAGUACUGCUAUACAAACAAAAGGGUGACAUACAUAACUGUUCAAAGUACCGAGGAAUUAAGAUGCUGUUUCACAGCAUGAGACUGUAAGAGAGAAUCAUAAAUAGUUGCAUUCACUGAACAGUGAAGGCCAUUUUAGGAAAAGAGCAGCUUGGUUUUAUAAAAGGAAAAAAGAUAGCAGAUGGUAUGUCAUUGCUAGACAGUUGGUGGAAAAGAAGCUGAAGGGAAACAUCAAGAAUGGUUGGGCUUUCCUUGAUUUGGAGAAAGCAUUUGACAGGAGUGAGACCAAGGUCUGUGGUAUCGAAGAGCAGCGAGAGGAGGCUGAGACGGUAUGGCCAUCUACAAAAGAUGGAUGAAGAGAAUCCUCUUCAGGAGGCAUUUGAGACUAGAGUUUGCAGGCAGAGACAAGAGGAUGGCCAAGAAAACAGUGGAUAGACUGUGUAUGGGAAGGCAGAAUACAUACAGAGUGAACAUUAGACUGGCAAGCCUGGAAAAGAUUGAUCUAUAGACCUGACUCUAGCUAACUGGGAAAAGGGAAAGAAGCGGCGUGUACUUUUCACUUCAUACUCUCCAUUAAUCUUAAUCACACUUUUAUAAUGAAUGGAGACUAUACUUUGGCAUUGCCUGUAUAAAAAUAAAUUUUACAUUUGAGGCCAAAUUUUCAACGAGGAACCUAUAAUUAUACUUACAAAAUUUGUGUGUGCAAGUUAGAUAAAGGGGAAAAAAGCGUCCCUGUUGCACAUGUACUCACAUGAUUUCCUUCUACAAACUUAGGUUUUUAUGCUGACAAGUUUUUUUCAGAUUAUUAAAGCCAAUUGAAAAUUUGUCUUAUAUUGUAUGGAGGAAGUCAUCUUCAAAAGCACCACUACUAAAGUUCAGCACAGGAGUUGAUAGCACAAAUCACCCACAUAUUUUUUUAAAUUAAAAUGUUAAGACUUAUGAGAUAUAACAAAAGAGUCUAUUUAUUGAACUGUUUGUUUAAUUGAAUGUGCCAUUUAAAAUAUAAAAUAUUAACAAUUUAAUUUACUGUAUGCAUGUGAAAUUAUUGACAGAGUAUGGUAAAACUUGUUACAAGUGUAAGUGUAAUUUAAUAUGGUUGCAGAGACAUGCCAUGUUACUACAAAGUGAUGGAAUUUAACCGGUUCAUAACAAAAUUUUAAUAUUUAGCACUUGUAUAUUGCUCUUUAUGAUGGUGAGUAAGCAUUAUUAUCCCCAUUGUAUACAGCGGAAACUGAGACACAGAUUAAGAUCACAUUUUCAAAAGUAACUAGCAACUUUGGGCACCCAAAAACUGAGGUGCCCUACCUGAGAUGUUGAUUUUCAGAAGGUGUUGAUUUUUGAAGGUGUUGGUUUUCAGAAAGUUCUC